AUUGAACGCUGGCGGCAGGCCUAACACAUGCAAGUCGAACGGUAACACGAAGCAGCUUUCUGCUUCGGUGAGGAGUGGGGGACGGGGGAGUGAUGUCUGGGGAAAUCUCUGAUGUAGGGGGGGAUAACCUGGAAAAGGUAUCUCUAACACCGUAUAGUCGCAAGACGUCAGAGGAGGGGCUUCGGGCACCUUGCGAUCGGGUGUGCGCAGAUGGGAUUAGCUUGUUGGUGGGGUAAGGGCUCACCAAGGCGACGAUCCCUAGCUGGUCUGAGAGGAUGAUCAGCCACACUGGAACUGAGACACGGUCCAGACUCCUACGGGAGGCAGCAGUGGGGAAUAUUGGACAAUGGGCGCAAGCCUGAUGCAGCCAUGCCGCGUGGAUGAAGAAGGCCUUCGGGUUGUAAAGCACUUUUAUCGGGGAGGAAGAGAGGCAGGUUAAUACCUGGGCGUAUUGACGGUACCCGCAGAAGAAGCACCGGCUAACUCCGUG
rnacentral:rRNA from 1 species